rnacentral:rRNA from 1 species
GACGAACGCUGGCGGCGUGCUUAACACAUGCAAGUCGAGCGGUAAGGCCCUUUCGGGGGUACGACGAGCGGCGAACGGGUGAGUAACACGUGGGUGACCUGCCCUUAGCUCUGGGAGUAAGCCUGGGAAACGUGGGUCUAAUACCGGAUAUGACUCCAUGACGCAUGUUGUGGGGUGGAAAGCCUUGUGCGGCUAGGGAGUGGGCCCGCGGCCUAUCAGCUUGUUGGUGGGGUGAUGGCCUACCAAGGCGACGACGGGUAGCCGGCCUGAGAGGG